UACGUAGGGGGCUAGCGUUGUCCGGAAUCAUUGGGCGUAAAGAGCGCGUAGGCGGCCAGAUAAGUCCGGUGUGAAAGCCCCCGGCUCAACUGGGGAGGGUCACGCGAUACUGAUCGACUCGAAGGCAGGAGAGGGUAGUGGAAUUCCCGGUGUAGUGGUGAAAUGCGUAGAUAUCGGGAGGAACACCAGUGGCGAAGGCGACUACCUGGCCUGUUCUUGACGCUGAGGCGCGAAAGCUAGGGGAGCAAACGGG
rnacentral:rRNA from 1 species